ACAACGAAGAGUUUGAUCCUGGCUCAGGAUGAACGCUAGCGACAGGCCUAACACAUGCAAGUCGAGGGGUAACAGGGAAGCUUGCUUUCGCUGACGACCGGCGCACGGGUGAGUAACGCGUAUGCAACCUAGCCGUAAGAGGGGGAUAGCCUCUCGAAAGAGAGAUUAACACCGCAUAAUAUUAUUAGAAGGCAUCUUUUAAUAAUUAAAUAUUAAUAGCUUACGGAUGGGCAUGCGUCUGAUUAGUUAGUUGGGGAGGUAACGGCUCACCAAGACAACGAUCAGUAGGGGUUCUGAGAGGAAGGUCCCCCACACUGGUACUGAGACACGGACCAGACUCCUACGGGAGGCAGCAGUGAGGAAUAUUGGUCAAUGGGCGCAAGCCUGAACCAGCCAAGUCGCGUGCAGGAAGACUGCCCUAUGGGUUGUAAACUGCUUUUAUAAGGGAAUAAAAAACACCAUGUAUGGUGUCUUGUAGGUACCUUACGAAUAAGGAUCGGCUAACUCCGUGCCAGCAGCCGCGGUAAUACGGAGGAUCCAAGCGUUAUCCGGAUUUAUUGGGUUUAAAGGGUGCGUAGGCGGAACAAUAAGUCAGUGGUGAAAGUUUGCAGCUCAACUGUAAAAUUGCCAUUGAAACUGCUGUUCUUGAGUACAAAUGAGGUAGGCGGAAUGUGUUGUGUAGCGGUGAAAUGCAUAGAUAUAACACAGAACACCAAUUGCGAAGGCAGCUUACUGGGAUGUAACUGACGCUGAGGCACGAAAGCGUGGGGAUCGAACAGGAUUAGAUACCCUGGUAGUCCACGCAGUAAACGAUGAAUACUAGCUGUAUGCGAUACACAGUAUGCGGCACAGCGAAAGCGUUAAGUAUUCCACCUGGGGAGUACGACCGCAAGGUUGAAACUCAAAGGAAUUGACGGGGGCCCGCACAAGCGGAGGAACAUGUGGUUUAAUUCGAUGAUACGCGAGGAACCUUACCCGGGCUUGAAAUGCAGAGUAAUAAUUUGGAAACAGAUUAGUCAGCAAUGAACUCUGUGUAGGUGCUGCAUGGUUGUCGUCAGCUCGUGCCGUGAGGUGUCGGCUUAAGUGCCAUAACGAGCGCAACCCUUAUCAUUAGUUACUAACAGGUUAAGCUGAGGACUCUAAUGAGACUGCCACCGUAAGGUGUGAGGAAGGUGGGGAUGACGUCAAAUCAGCACGGCCCUUACGUCCGGGGCGACACACGUGUUACAAUGGAUGGUACAGAGGGUCGCUACCUGGCAACAGGAUGCAAAUCUCAUAAAGCCAUUCUCAGUUCGGAUUGGAGUCUGCAACUCGACUCCAUGAAGCUGGAUUCGCUAGUAAUCGCGCAUCAGCCAUGGCGCGGUGAAUACGUUCCCGGGCCUUGUACACACCGCCCGUCAAACCAUGGGAGUUUGGGGUACCUAAAGUCCGUAACCGCAAGGGACGGCCUAGGGUAAAUCAGAUGACUGGGGUUAAGUCGUAACAAGGUAGCCGUACCGGAAGGUGUGGCUGGAACACCUCCUUU
rnacentral:rRNA from 1 species